UGCUGCUGCUGCUGCUGCUGCUGCUGCUGCUGCUGCUGCUGCUGCUGCUGCUGCUGCUGCUGCUGCUGCUGCUGCUGCUGCUGCUGCUGCUGCUGCUGCUGCUGCUGCUGCUGCUGCUGCUGCUGCUGCUGCUGCGCUGGCUGCCACCGCCGCGGUGAAAGUGGGGGAUAAGGCCAAGGCGCCUGGGGGACUCGCCCUGCUCUUCCAGGGCCUCUCCUACCUGGAAGGGGACACUGGGGUCAAGCAGCUCAGGGGACAGGAGCAAGGGAAUGUGCUGAGAUCCGCCAGCCUCCGGGGAGAGGUGUGCGUGAGGGACGCUCAAAGCUGGAGGUUGGAGACAUCCAUGGAAGAGCAACCAAGUAUCUACUACCUUCACCCUUGGUCACUGCUCCAGCCAUAG
rnacentral:lncRNA from 12 species